GGACAUGAGCACCAUCUUUGCCAGGAGGCGUGGGAGAUGGAUUGGAUUGGCCAUGUGCUUCGGAUGGAAACUGAUUCCAUCACCAGAGUAGCAAUAAGAUGGACACCUGAAAGCAAGCAAAAAUGAGGCUGCCCCAAAACAACAUGGCAAAAAGCAGUGGAAGCCGAGCUGAAAAACCUGGGGCACAGCUGGGGAACCAUCGAAAGACUUGCCAGAAACAGACAGGAUCAGCUUGUUUGACCAAA